rnacentral:rRNA from 1 species
CAGUAGCCGCGGUAAUACGUAGGUGGCAAGCGUUGUCCGGAAUCAUUGGGCGUAAAGGGCUCGCAGGCGGUUUCUUAAGUCUGAUGUGAAAGCCCCCGGCUCAACCGGGGAGGGUCAUUGGAAACUGGGAAACCUGAGUGCAGAAGAGGAGAGUGGAAUUCCACGUGUAGCGGUGAAAUGCGUAGAGACGUGGAGGAACACCAGUGGCGAAGGCGACUCUCAGGUCUGUAACUGACGCUGAGGAGCGAAAGCGUGGGGAGCGAACAGGAUUAGAUACCCCAGUAGUCCCUGUCUCUUAUAC